rnacentral:rRNA from 1 species
AGAGCAUUUGGUGGAUGCCUUGGCAUAAAGAGGCGAUGAAGGACGUGACAGACUGCGAUAAGCUCGGGCUUGCUGUCAAUAAGCUUAACCCGAGAUUUCCGAAUGGGGAAACCCGAUUACUUAUAAGUGAAUUCAUAGCUUAUAAGGGCGAACCUAGGGAACUGAAACAUCUAAGUACCUAGAGGAAAAGAUAUUCCGUUAGUAGUGGCGAGCGAACGCGGACCAGGCCAGUGCUACUUUUUACUAAACCAGAACUGUAUGGAAAGGCAGGCCAUAGUGAGUGAUAGCCUCGUAUGGGUAGAUAGUAAAAACUAGACAUGAGUAGGGCGGGACACGUGAAAUCCUGUCUGAAUAUAGGAAGACCACUUCCUAAGCCUAAAUACUACUUUAUGACCGAUAGUGAACCAGUACCGUGAGGGAAAGGCGAAAAGAACCCCUAGCAGGGGAGUGAAAUAGAACCUGAAACCGGAUGCUUACAAGCAGUUGGAGCCUCUUUGUGAGGUGACAGCGUACCUUUUGUAUAAUGGGUCAGUGACUUAAUUUAUUAAGCAAGCUUAAGCCAUCUAGGUGUAGGCGUAGCGAAAGCAAGUCUUAAUAGGGCGAUUAGUUUAAUGAAUUAGACCCGAAAACGAAUGAGCUUACCAUGAGCAGGUUGAAAGCAAGGUAACACUUGCCGGAGGACCGAACCAGUUGACGUUGAAAAGUCUUUGGAUGACUUGUGGUAAGGGGUGAAAGGCCAACCAAAUUCGUAGAUAGCUGGUUUUCCGCGAAAACUAUUUAGGUAGUGCGUUGAAUAAAUAGAUGUUUAGAGGUAGAGCACUAAAUGGGCUAGGGGGAAGAGAUUCUUACCAAACCUAAUAAAACUCCGAAUGCUAAACGUAGUUCUUCAACAGACAGACUGUGGGUGCUAAGGUCCAUGGUCGAGAGGGAAAGAGCCCAGACCACCAGAUAAGGUCCCAAAAUUAUGAUUAAGUGUGAAAGGAUGUGGAAAUUCCUUAACAGCCGGGAGGUUGGCUUAGAAGCAGCCAUCCUUUAAAGAUAGCGUAACAGCUCACCGGUCUAAUAGAGUUUCUGCGCCAAAGAUGUAACGGGGCUCAAAUCAUGUACCGAAUCUGUGGAUUUAUAAUUUCUUCGGAAAUUACAACUGGUAGCGGAACGUUCUGUAAGCCUGUGAAGGGAUACCCGUGAGGGAUCCUGGAGGUAUCAGAAGUGCGAAUGCUGACAUAAGUAACGAUUAACAGAGUGAAAAACUCUGUCGCCGAAAAUCCAAGGGUUCCUGCGCAAGGUUAAUCCGCGCAGGGUUAGUCGGUCCCUAAGUCGAGGGCGAGAGCCGUAGACGAUGGAAACAAGGUUAAUAUUCCUUGACCAGAUGGAAGUGACGGAUUUUGUAAGUUGUUAACUCUUAAUGGAUUGAGUUAGCCGCGAAAAAGUCCCAGGAAAUAGCUCCAUCAUUAGACCGUACCCUAAACCGACACAGGUGGAUUAAUAGAGUAUAUUUAGGCGCUUGAGAGAAUGAUGUUGAAGGAACUCGGCAAAAUGCUUCUGUAACUUCGGAAUAAAGAAGACCUUUUUUAGGGCAACCUAUUAAAGGGUGGCACAAGCCAGGGAGAAGCGACUGUUUAUCAAAAACACAGGGCUCUGCUAACACGUAAGUGGAUGUAUAGGGUCUGACGCCUGCCCGGUGCUGGAAGGUUAAUGCGAUGGGUGCAAGCUCAUUUCUGAAGCCCCAGUAAACGGCGGCCGUAACUAUAACGGUCCUAAGGUAGCGAAAUUCCUUGUCGGGUAAGUUCCGACCUGCACGAAUGGCGUAACGAUUUCUCCGCUGUCUCCAACAUCAACUCAGUGAAAUUGAAUUCUCCGUGAAGAUGCGGAGUUCGCGUAGUUAGACGGAAAGACCCCGUGCACCUUUACUAUAGCUUUGCAGUGGCAAUAGAGCUAGGAUGUGCAGGAUAGGUGGGAGACUUAGAACUUGUAGCGCCAGCUGUGAGGGAGUCAACCUUGAGAUACCACCCUUCCUCGCUUUGUUGUCUAACCGAGAUUAGUUAUCCUAAUCCGGGACCCUGCAUGGUGGGUAGUUUGACUGGGGCGGUCGCCUCCCAAAUAGUAACGGAGGCGUGCGAAGGUAAGCUCAGAACGGUCAGAAAUCGUUCGUAGAGUGCAAUGGCAUAAGCCUGCCUGACUGCGAGACUGACAAGUCGAGCAGAGACGAAAGUCGGUCAUAGUGAUCCGGUGGUUCUGAGUGGAAGGGCCAUCGCUCAACGGAUAAAAGGUACUCCGGGGAUAACAGGCUGAUACCGCCCAAGAGUUCAUAUCGACGGCGGUGUUUGGCACCUCGAUGUCGGCUCAUCACAUCCUGGGGCUGAAGUAGGUCCCAAGGGUAUGGCUGUUCGCCAUUUAAAGUGGUACGCGAGCUGGGUUUAGAACGUCGUGAGACAGUUCGGUCCCUAUCUGCCGUGGGCGCUGGAGAACUGAGGGGGGCUGCUCCUAGUACGAGAGGACCGGAGUGGACGCAUCACUGGUGUUCGGGUUGUCAUGCCAAUGGCACUGCCCGGUAGCUAAAUGCGGAAGAGAUAAGUGCUGAAAGCAUCUAAGCACGAAACUUGCCCCGAGAUGAGUUCU